rnacentral:rRNA from 1 species
GAUCGGAGUCUGCAACCCGACUCCGUGAAGCUGGAUUCGCUAGUAAUCGCGCAUCAGCCAUGGCGCGGUGAAUACGUUCCCGGGCCUUGUACACACCGCCCGUCAAGCCAUGGGAGCCGGGGGUGCUUGAAGUGCGUCGCCGCAAGGCGCGCCCUAGAGCAAAACCGGUGACUGGGGCUAAGUCGUAACAAGGUAUC